GAUGAACGCUGGCUGCGUGCCUAAUACAUGCAAGUCGAGCGAACGGACGAGAAGCUUGCUUUUCUGAUGUUAGCGGCGGACGGGUGAGUAACACGUGGAUAACCUACCUAUAAGACUGGGAUAACUUCGGGAAACCGGAGCUAAUACCGGAUAAUAUUUUGAACCGCAUGGUUCAAAAGUGAAAGACGGUCUUGCUGUCACUUAUAGAUGGAUCCGCGCUGCAUUAGCUAGUUGGUAAGGUAACGGCUUACCAAGGCAACGAUGCAUAGCCGACCUGAGAGGGUGAUCGGCCACACUGGAACUGAGACACGGUCCAGACUCCUACGGGAGGCAGCAGUAGGGAAUCUGCCGCAAUGGGCGAAAGCCUGACGGAGCAACGCCGCGUGAGUGAUGAAGGUCUUCGGAUCGUAAAACUCUGUUAUUAGGGAAGAACAUAUGUGUAAGUAACUGUGCACAUCGUGACGGUACCUAAUCAGAAAGCCACGGCUAACUACGUG
rnacentral:rRNA from 1 species